UCCGGCGUAGCUCAGUGGUAGAGCGACUCCCUGUUAAGGAGAUGGUCGCAGGUCCGAAUCCUGCCGCCGGAGCAA
rnacentral:tRNA from 1 species